rnacentral:rRNA from 1 species
CAGUAGCCGCGGUAAUGCGUAGGUGGCAAGCGUUGUCCGGAAUUAUUGGGCGUAAAGGGCUCGCAGGCGGUGUCUUAAGUCUGAUGUGAAAGCCCCCGGCUCAACCGGGGAGGGUCAUUGGAAACUGGGAAACUUGAGUGCAGAAGAGGAGAGUGGAAUUCCACGUGUAGCGGUGAAAUGCGUAGAGAUGUGGAGGAGCACCAGUGGCGAAGGCGACUCUCUGGUCUGUAACUGACGCUGAGGAGCGAAAGCGUGGGGAGCGAACAGGAUUAGAUACCCGAGUAGUCCCUGUCUCUUAUAC